GCAGCCUUGAAUUGCAAGGUGGGACCCACAUCAAAGGAGCCUUUGAUAAGAGCAUUUUGGUCAGCAAGAUCAUAGUGAAUAGAUAGGAGUUUCGAAGUGAAGGCAAUAUGGGGCUCAGACACCUCUCCUUUAUUAUUGUUCCGGAAAGAGACCUUGAGUUUAGCCAAGCUAUCAAAUAACUUACAUGACACCUUAUGGAGAAAUAAGGAGCUAUCACUGUCAAACUCAGAGGUCACCCUAACAGAGGGUCUCUUGAAGAAAAUGGGACCUGAAGUCGGUGGUGGAGGAGGUGGCGGAGGAGUUGGCGGUGGCGGAGAUUGGAGAGAGCGUAAUAAUGGGUGAGGUGGAUCUGCAGAUGGGAUGGGUGGGACCAUGUGAUUAGGAUGAGGUGGAAGAGAUACUGUUGGGGGUGAUUCAGCCAUUGAUUGUUGUUGGUGGGUUAUCUGUGAGAUGAUCUCUCUUCUCUUUUCUCUUAUGUGUGUGAGAGUGUAUUUGAAAGACAGAGAGCGGAUUUAGACGGUGGUGAAUUCGUGGGCUUAAGGCGGAAAUUUAGAUGGAGGACUUCGUAGAUAGCUUUGGAUUUUUGUUUGAGUUCACCGAAUUUUCGAACUUGG
rnacentral:misc_RNA from 1 species